AUUGAACGCUGGCGGCAGGCCUAACACAUGCAAGUCGAACGAGUGGCGGACGGGUGAGUAAUGUCUGGGACACUGCCUGAUGGAGGGGGUCAACUACUGGAAACGGUAGCUAAUACCGCAUACCAUCGGAUGUGCCCAGAUGGGAUUAGCUAGUAGGUGGGGUAAAGGCUCACCUAGGCGACGAUCCCUAGCUGGUCUGAGAGGAUGACCAGCAAGCCUGGAACUGAGACACCGUCCAGACUCCUGCGGGAGGCAGCGUUGGGGAAUAUUGCGCAAUGGGCGCAAGCCUGAUGCAGCCAUGCCGCGUGUAUGAAGAAGGCUUUCGGUUUGUAAAGUACUUUCAGCGGAGAGGCAUUGCCCGCAGAAGAAGCACCGGCUAACUCCGUGCCAGCAGCCGCGGUAAUAC
rnacentral:rRNA from 1 species